rnacentral:lncRNA from 10 species
CAGUCUUCUAGAACGCUGGAGCUGGGAGUCACUCUAGGGACAGCCCUUGUUCUGUAAACAAGGGAGCAACAGCCCUGACAGAGCCAACUGGCAGGUUCAUAGGUAGAAGAAACUCAUCUCCAGAUGAGUCUUUGGACUUGGGACUUGGGACUUUUGAGUUAAGACUUCAGAGGACUAUUAUGAAGGCAUGAUUAUAUUUUGAAAUGUGAGAAGGACAUGAGAUUCAGGGAGCCAGGGGCAGAAUGAUAUGGUUUGGAUGUUUGUCCCCUCCAAGGAAGAGCCAGCAAAGUUGCCUGCAAGAGAGA